GUAUCUUAUUACUUCUAGAGUUCUAGUCCUACUCAGUCACAAACAUAUAAUAAGCUUAAUUUUAUGUUAUAUGCUCUCUACAAAUUAAAUCGACUCCUACUCCUGCUCAAACAUAUAAAUUAACUUUUAUGUAAUAGGUAUAGGAUAUGUGUUACAUAUAAUUAAUAUAUUAAUUUCUGGCUUCUUAGACAUCCGAGCUUCUAAAUAAUGCUCAUCAUCAUAAGUUAGACCAACAUCAUAUCAGCCUAUCAGGUGAAUUUCCGACUGCCAACUAAGCUCUAAUUUCGGCGAAAGUCAAACUCAGGUGAAAAUUGCAACAAAAAUAUAAAUUCACGUAUAUCAGUAAAUAUCAUUUUGGCCAUAAAUAAACUAAAUAUGAAUUAAUAUUUUAAUACAUAGUAUAUAUAUCAGUAAAUAUCAUUUUUAAAAUACAAUAAAAUAUUGGCGUUUGGGUGUGUGUUGAGUGAAAAUGCAAGUGUUUCAACACGUAAUAUUUUUUUCUAACUGUUAUUUAGUAUUUGCUCCAUUUACAAAUACUAAUAUAUAUUUAUGUAAAAAAAUUAUAUGAACUUGUUACUAUCUAUGGACGAAGGGAGUAAUACGUAACAAGAGUAUAUGAGGUGCAUUUAGUAAGUCAUCAUUGUAAAAUAAUACCAUAAUUAUACAAAAAAAGUAACUCUAAAUAUCAUAAUAACUAUAAAAUAGUCAUAGGAGUAAGGAUUGAUUAAGAUCGAAAUGGGGUUAAUGGUGAGAAGUCGAAAUGAGUAAUGAGUUCAGUUGAAGCUAUGGGAUUUGAUCGAGAAACGAAAAGUUUGCUGCAAAUUACAUCUUGGAUCAUAUGCAUGCGUUUUUUUAUAUUUAUUUGAAUUAAUAAUUGAUUAUUUGGAUUAAUCAAUUCAAAGUUAGGGUAUAUAAUAUUUUUAAAUUUCAAUUUUUAGUGAUAAACAUCAGCUAGGGUUCAUAAUAUAAUAAUAUUCUUUAUUUUUACAACAAAGAAUUACUCCCUCCGUCCCACGAAUCUUGAGUUAAUUCUUUCCGGCACGAGAAUUAAGGA
rnacentral:lncRNA from 1 species